rnacentral:sRNA from 1 species
AUUAUCUUUACAAUAAAAGUUUUUAGUUUAACUAAAAUAUAAGCUUACCUGCGGUAUACUGCAGGUUAAAAUUAUAAAUAGGUAGAUUACCAUCACGAUGUAUGUACCUUCUCAGAUACACACCUAUCAAAAACUUAAAACCUUUCAAAAUCUCUUGGUAUAUUCAAAUUAAGAUUCUUCAUUCAUGGAAUCAUUAUUCCAAGGGUUUUGGGAUGUCUUAUGAAUAAUUUUGGCAGAAGAGGAUGUAAAAUUUUUUGAAUAAAAAGUAGUCAGCAAAAUAUAUGUUUUUUGGGGAGUUUUUAGAUCAUUAAAUCAGAGAAUAGGGCUGGCAUAUGAGUAACUCAUUCGAGUUCGGGUAGAACCCGUUCGGGUUUGGGAUUAAUGGGUAUAUUAUUUACUACCCAAUAGAAUAAUUCUAAAUAUUUGGUUCUGGUUUGGGUCGGGUCCAUUUGGGUUUGGGUCAGUUUGGAUAAAAAGUUUCAUGCCCUAAAAAUACCCAAAAAAUAGAAACGGGUAUUUGUUUGUAGAUAGAGGGUCUCCAAACAAAAA